UGUUUUUGUGUAGCUCUUAAUCCACAUCUUUAAUUUUAAAAUUUGGCCACUUAUAUAGAUGAUACAAUAUUUCUCAGGAUGGCAUAUGCUCAUGUUCAUACAUCAGUACUACCUGAGGUUUCAGAGUCAUUGGACUCUAGGUGUGUGACAUUCUGCCUAACUCUUGUGUUUGUUCUGAAAUUUUUAAAUAGAAGCAUUUUGCCUGUGUGCAUGAAUAUGAAUAUCAUGUGUGUAUUCAUCUUUAGUGUUUUUGGAAGACGGCCUCAUAACUCCUGAUCUUUUUUGUUUGUUUGUUUGGUUGGUUGGUUUGGUUUUUUUGGGGGUUUUUUGGGGGUUUUUUUUUUUUUUUGGUUUUUGGUUUUUUUUUGAGACAGGGUUUCUCUGUUGUAGCCCUGGCUGUCCUGGAACUCACUCUGUAGACCAGGCUGGCCUUGAACUCAGAAAUCCUCCUGCCUCUGCCUCCCAAAUGCUGGGAUUAAAGGCGUACACCACCACGCCCGGCAUAACUCCUGAUCUUGAAGUAACAGUUUGUUGUUGGUCUCCACAUAAAUGCUAGAAAUUGACCACCAUUAUGUGGAAGACCAGCAAGAGCUUUUCACUGUUGAGCUAUUUCUCCGGCCCUAUGUUGCUUAUUUAUGAUCAACAUUUAUAUUACUAGUAUUUUCAUCUCUCCAUUUGUAACUGUUUAAACCUUAUUUAAGUUCUUUUUUUAAUUUCUCCUAUUCAAAAGGUGCAAAAGCAACACAGGUGAACACUAUAUUUCAAGUUCCUUCUAAAAUGACAGGAUGAUUAGAUUAUAACUCCUGUGUGAAGAAAUCAGUGGAGGAAGCACCAGAAAUAUAUGGAUAUAUUGUGGAGGAAGUGUACAUUUACUUUACAGUGAUGUCAGUAUCAUGCUUUGUGUUGUACACAUUUAUGGGAUAUUUUAGGAUUCAGUGACUUAUGAUGAUGUGCAUGUGAACUUCACUAAAGAAGAGUGGGAUUUGCUGGAUCCUUCCCAGAUGAAUCUCUACAAAGACGUGAUGCUGGAGACCUACUGGAACCUCAUUGCUAUAGGUAG
rnacentral:lncRNA from 1 species